rnacentral:rRNA from 1 species
GAGUUUGAUCCUGGCUCAGAGUGAACGCUGGCGGUAGGCCUAACACAUGCAAGUCGAACGGCAGCACAGAGGAGCUUGCUCCUUGGGUGGCGAGUGGCGGACGGGUGAGGAAUACAUCGGAAUCUACUCUGUCGUGGGGGAUAACGUAGGGAAACUUACGCUAAUACCGCAUACGACCUACGGGUGAAAGCAGGGGAUCUUCGGACCUUGCGCGAUUGAAUGAGCCGAUGUCGGAUUAGCUAGUUGGCGGGGUAAAGGCCCACCAAGGCGACGAUCCGUAGCUGGUCUGAGAGGAUGAUCAGCCACACUGGAACUGAGACACGGUCCAGACUCCUACGGGAGGCAGCAGUGGGGGAUAUUGGACAAUGGGCGCAAGCCUGAUCCAGCCAUACCGCGUGGGUGAAGAAGGCCUUCGGGUUGUAAAGCCCUUUUGUUGGGAAAGAAAUCCAGCCGGCUAAUACCUGGUUGGGAUGACGGUACCCAAAGAAUAAGCACCGGCUAACUUCGUGCCAGCAGCCGCGGUAAUACGAAGGGUGCAAGCGUUACUCGGAAUUACUGGGCGUAAAGCGUGCGUAGGUGGUUAUUUAAGUCCGUUGUGAAAGCCCUGGGCUCAACCUGGGAACUGCAGUGGAUACUGGAUGACUAGAAUGUGGUAGAGGGUAGCGGAAUUCCUGGUGUAGCAGUGAAAUGCGUAGAGAUCANGAGGAACAUCCAUGGCGAAAGCAGCUACCUGGACCAACAUUGACACUGANCACGAAAGCGUGGGGAGCAAACAGAUUAGAUACCCUGGUAGUCAUCGA